CCUACGGGAGGCAGCAGUGGGGAAUAUUGGACAAUGGGGGGAACCCUGAUCCAGCCAUGCCGCGUGUGUGAAGAAGGCCCUCGGGUUGUAAAGCACUUUCAGUGAGGAAGAACGCCUGGUGGUUAAUACCCAUCAGGAAAGACAUCACUCACAGAAGAAGCACCGGCUAACUCCGUGCCAGCAGCCGCGGUAAUACGGAGGGUGCGAGCGUUAAUCGGAAUUACUGGGCGUAAAGCGCGCGUAGGUGGCUUGAUAAGCCGGUUGUGAAAGCCCCGGGCUCAACCUGGGAACGGCAUCCGGAACUGUCAAGCUAGAGUGCAGGAGAGGAAGGUAGAAUUCCCGGUGUAGCGGUGAAAUGCGUAGAGAUCGGGAGGAAUACCAGUGGCGAAGGCGGCCUUCUGGACUGACACUGACACUGAGGUGCGAAAGCGUGGGUAGCAAACAGGAUUAGAUACCUUAGUAGUC
rnacentral:rRNA from 1 species